UCUCCCUCCGCUUCAUGCGUGUGUCACGGAUCAGGCGUGUAUCGCGAGCAACGCAGCAUCUCCCACCGGAGCUCGUCACAUACGUGGGCUGUGCGCCUUUCGGAGAACAGAUUUGUGGGUGGGUAAGCCGUUCUAGAUGCAGUGACAAGGAUCAUCGUUCACCGUUUCUGGCGCACUCGUCAGUGGAGAGACUGCCCUCACCUGCACCUGUUUAGUUGUUCGUUAUGUCGUCUUUUCCUUGCUCUUGGGGUGUGCCCGUCAUGUCCUCUGAUAGCGACACGGAGGGCGAGGCACCGUCGGCGACGCAGUCGCCUGUGGACUGGAACCGGAUCGAGCACAAGUUGGCUAAUCUGCCGACGCUGGAGCGGCUUCUGCAGGAGUCGAAUCCAAACGACUUCUCCGACGCGGAUGUGGAGGAGGCGUCGCGAUUUGUGCGCGAUAUCGUAGCGACUGCCCCGCAGUGCAACACAGACAUCGAGAAGGCUCAGCGUCAACUUCAAAGGAAGUACCGUCGCGUGUUCAAGAAGUCACUGCUACUCGCGGGGUACAAGCACCUGCUGCGCGAGUCUAUGGCAGCGGCGAAUGGCGUCAACAUACUUGCACAGCCACACCAGGAGAACUGUGGCUCUUCUGGUGCACUCACUGCUGCUGUUCUCCCGGACAUGGAGGACGCCGUAUCACCGCCGGCCCCGUCUGCGUCUGGGACUUUGCCGUCCCCCAGUCUGAAGACGCCUGUGGUGUGUCCAGUACUGGAGCGCUACCUCGUGUUCAAGGCUCCGCGUAGUCAGUCCGGCGUGCUGGUCGUUACUGUGUUCACCUCCGCUUACCCGGACGGGCAGAACUUCAGCUGCGGGUGGAACUGUUAUUACUGCCCCAACGAGCCGGGUCAGCCACGCAGCUACUUGCUGAACGAGCCCGGCGUGCGGCGGGCGAAUCGCCUCGAGUUUGACCCGUACCGCCAGUUCGAAGAGCGCGUCCGCUCUCUCGUGGCGAUCGGCCACCCCGCCGAUAAAGUCGAGCUGCUGGUAUUGGGCGGCACCUGGGAGAGCUACCCGCGCCCGUAUCGCGAGCGCUUCAUCCGCGACCUCUUCUACGCGGCCAACACCAUGUUUGAUCCUCCGCACGCUCCGCGACGGCCACCGCUGGACCUGCUCCAGGAGCAGCUGCUGAAUGAGUCCGCGCAGUGCAAGAUCAUUGGAGUGACGCUGGAGACGCGGCCGGACACUAUCAACCCAGAUAUGCUCGUGGAGCUGCGUCGGUUCGGCUGCACUCGCGUGCAGCUCGGCGUGCAGCACACGGACGACGGCAUUCUCACCCUUGUAAAUCGCCAGUCUACCCGCGAGGACACCGCCAAUGCCAUCAAGCUGUUGAAGGACAGCUGCUUCAAGGUGGACAUCCAUCUCAUGCCUGACCUGCCCGGGGCAAGCCCCGCCGUCGAUAAGGCCAUGUUCGAUGACGUACUCGACUCCCCGUAUCUUCAGGCGGACCAGUGGAAGAUCUACCCAUGCCAAACAACGCCGUUCUCUGUAAUUGAGCAGUGGUACAAGGACGGCAAGUACACGCCCUACGGCCUGGAGAACUUGAUCGACGUGCUGCUCUAUGCGAAGGCGCGCGUGCACCCGUGGAUCCGCAUCAACCGCGUCAUCCGCGACAUUCCUGUGGACUACGUCCUUGCUGGCGUCGAGGUGGCAAACCUGCGCCAACUGCUCGCCCACAAGUUGCGAGAGCGCGGGGGGCGAUGCCGCUGCAUCCGGUGCCGUGAAAUCAAGGGGGACAAAGAAGUCACGGAGAAGCUGAAGUCGGCCACCCUGCAGGAGCGGCGCUACGAGGCAAGCGAGGGGACGGAGGUGUUUCUAUCGGUCGAGAUGCCGACGGACGACGCGACCAUCUUAGGCUUCCUGCGCCUGCGACUGAACAUCCGCAACUGGGAGACACCGUUCGCGGAGCUCCUGCCGUGCGCGCUGAUUCGCGAGCUGCACGUGUACGGCAAUCUCCUGCCCACCUACGUGGAGGAGGCGGGCCGCUUGCAUACACCCGCAGCCCAACACAGCGGCAUUGGCCAGCGCCUUCUUCACCGAGCCGAGGCGAUCGCCAGGGAGGAAGGGUACAGCCAAAUCGCCGUCAUCAGCGGCGUAGGCGUCCGCGGGUAUUACAAGCGCCGUGGCUACCGACUCCUGGCCGCCCACCGUGGCGGCUUUCUCGUGAAGAACCUUGACAUGGGCGAUGCGUUGACUGGCGCGCCGACAACCGACCCCAAGGCUGAACCGCUCGAAUUUUCUCUUGAGCGCGAUGAGGCGUUGCUGCGGCGGGUGGCGGCAAAUCGCACGACAUCAGUCUCACCGAUACCGGGUGGGGCACCGUCCCUCGGCGUAGCCACACUCGCUGCAGUGCGGACGCAGGCGGUUGCAUGGUACGGCCAGCUGCGCACCAGCGUUGCGCAGUGGUGGUCAGCGCGAAAACGGUGCCGCGAGGAGGAAACCGAGUGGCCGCAGCGGAGCGACGCGGAGGGACGUGCUGAAGCAGCGGCGCGCACUCUGUAAAUCGCACAACUCUUCCGCGGCCCUUUGCCGCCGGCUUUUCGUGCAGCGCGCGGCGGGGUGGUGAAGGGCUGCAGCGGCAGGGGGGGUGAGGUGCACAUGCGCCUGACAGUGUUUAGAUGAUAGCACGAAAAGGAACCCUAAAGCUUAAUCCGAUCGAGUAGAGCAACGAAGACAUUUUCAGCGCAUGGGAAGGCAGCAGCGCCACCCGAGCAUCCAUAACGUACACUGCUGAGGAGGGGUUUCGCUCGUUUCCGUGGCGCUCCUCCCGCUGAUCCUGAUGGGGCAUGCUGCAUAUACCAAAGCCACGUUGUUGGAGAGGGUGGAGUCCAAAGCAGAGAGGGCCCGGAAGUCGACUUGCGCGGACGCCCGCGUCGGACUAUCUGCUCCCUCCAUCGUUGUUAUUAUUGUUUGCUUUUUUUUUUCGCACGCAAGUA
rnacentral:misc_RNA from 1 species